rnacentral:misc_RNA from 1 species
GAUGAAGAACGUAGCGAAAUGCGAUACGUAAUGUGAAUUGCAGAAUUCAGUGAAUCAUCGAAUCUUUGAACGCACAUUGCACUCUCUGGUAUUCCGGAGAGUAUGCUUGUUUGAGUAUCAGUAAACACCUCAAUCUCUUGUUUCUUGUGAAUAAGAGAAUUGGACUUGAGCAAUCCCAACUCUUGCAAAAGAGGCGGGUUGCUUGAAAUGCAGGUGCAGCUGGACAUUCUUCUGAGCUAAAAGCAUAUUUAUUUAGUCCCGUAAAACGGAUUAUUACUUUUGCUGCAGCUAACAUAAAGGUUGAAUGGCCAAUAUGGCUGACUGAUGCAGGAUUAACAGAGAAUUUAUUCUUUGUAAACUCGAUCUCAAAUCAAGUAAGACUACCCGCUGAACUUAAGCAUAUCAAUAAGCGGAGGA